UACGAGGGGGGCAAAUGUUGUUCGGAAUCACUGGGCGUAAAGGGAGCGUAGGCGGGUUCUUAAGUUAGGUGUUUAAUCCCGGGGCCCAACCCCGGACCGGCACUUAAAACUGGGAAUCUUGAAUAGUGGAGAGGUCAGUGGAAUUGGGGGUGUAGCGGUGGAAUGCGUAGAGAUCCCCAAGAACACCAGUUGCGAAGGCGGCUGACUGGACACAUAUUGACGCUGAGGCACGAAAGCGUGGGGAGCAAACAGG
rnacentral:rRNA from 1 species